AAAAAUAGAGUAAAUGUAUUUUUAAUAUUUAGUUCUUGCAAUAAAAUUGAGGUAAAUAAAUAGUCCUUGCAAUCACAUUAAGGUAAAAAAUAGAGUAAAUGUGUUUUUAAUAUUUAGUCCUUUCAAUAAAAUUAGUUAAAUAAAUAGUUUGCAUGUUAAAUUAGAGUGACAUGAACCCCACCCAUUGCUCAACUUAAUGCUAGAAUUAUGGAACAGGACAAAAAAGAUACACUAAAGACUACAAACGCUCCAUAGUGGAUUCACGGAGUCAAGAAUCCAAAAAUAAUGGUAAAACAGAUGAACUUCGAGCCCAC
rnacentral:lncRNA from 1 species